GUGCUCACUUUGGCAGCACAUAUACUAAAAUUGGGAACGAUACAGAGAAGAUUAGCAUGGCCCCUGUGCAAGGAUGCCACACAAAUUCGUGAAGCAUUCCAUAUUUUU
rnacentral:snRNA from 1 species